CCUACGGGAGGCAGCAGUGAGGAAUAUUGGUCAAUGGACGAGAGUCUGAACCAGCCAAGUAGCGUGAAGGAUGACUGCCCUAUGGGUUGUAAACCUCUUUUGUCAGGGAGCAACGCCGGCUACGUGUAGCCGGCCUGAGAUUACCUGAAGAAAAAGCAUCGGCGAACUCCGUGCCAGUAGCCGCGGUAAUACGGAGGAUGCGAGCGUUAUCCGGUUUUAUUGGGUUGAAAGGGUGCGUAGGAGGAAUACCAAGUCAGCGGUAAAAUCGAGGGGCUCAACGUCGCUGAGCCGUUGAAACUGGUGGUAGUGAGGGAGCGAGAAGGAUGAGGAAUGAGUGGGGUAGCGUG
rnacentral:rRNA from 1 species